GAAUGCUGACAUAAGUAACGAUAAAGCGGGUGAAAAGCCCGCUCGCCGGAAGACCAAGGGUUCCUGUCCAACGUUAAUCGGGGCAGGGUGAGUCGACCCCUAAGGCGAGGCCGAAAGGCGUAGUCGAUGGGAAACAGGUUAAUAUUCCUGUACUUGGUGUUACUGCGAAGGGGGGACGGAGAAGGCUAUGUUGGCCGGGCGACGGUUGUCCCGGUUUAAGCGUGUAGGCUGGUUUUCCAGGCAAAUCCGGAAAAUCAAGGCUGAGGCGUGAUGACGAGGCACUACGGUGCUGAAGCAACAAAUGCCCUGCUUCCAGGAAAAGCCUCUAAGCAUCAGGUAACAUCAAAUCGUACCCCAAACCGACACAGGUGGUCAGGUAGAGAAUACCAAGGCGCUUGAGAGAACUCGGGUGAAGGAACUAGGCAAAAUGGUGCCGUAACUUCGGGAGAAGGCACGCUGAUAUGUAGGUGAAGCGACUUGCUCGUGGAGCUGAAAUCAGUCGAAGAUACCAGCUGGCUGCAACUGUUUAUUAAAAACACAGCACUGUGCAAACACGAAAGUGGACGUAUACGGUGUGACGCCUGCCCGGUGCCGGAA
rnacentral:rRNA from 1 species